rnacentral:rRNA from 1 species
UACGAAGGGGGGCUAGCGUUGCUCGGAAUUACUGGGCGUAAAGGGCGCGUAGGCGGACAGUUUAGUCAGAGGUGAAAGCCCAGGGCUCAACCUUGGAAUUGCCUUUGAUACUGGCUGUCUUGAGUUCGGGAGAGGUGAGUGGAAUGCCGAGUGUAGAGGUGAAAUUCGUAGAUAUUCGGCGGAACACCAGUGGCGAAGGCGACUCACUGGCCCGAUACUGACGCUGAGGCGCGAAAGCGUGGGGAGCAAACAG